rnacentral:rRNA from 1 species
UGAGGAAUAUUGCGCAAUGGGCGAAAGCCUGACGCAGCAACGCCGCGUGAGGGACGAAGGCCUUCGGGUCGUAAACCUCUUUUCUGGGGAAAGAGCAAGGACGGUACCUCAGGAAUAAGUCUCGGCUAACUACGUGCCAGCAGCCGCGGUAAAACGUAGGAGGCGAGCGUUAUCCGGAUUUACUGGGCGUAAAGCGCGCGCAGGUGGUUUCGUGAGUCGGACAUGAAAGCUCCUGGCUUAACUGGGAGAGGCUGUUCGAUACUGCGGGACUUGAGGUAGGGAGAGGGGUGUGGAAUUCCCGGGUGUAGUGGUGGAAUGCGUAGAUAUCGGGAGGAACACCUGUGGCGAAAGCGGCACCCUGGCCCUCACCUGACACUGAGGUGCGAAAGCGUGGGGAGCA